rnacentral:rRNA from 1 species
UCGCCUGUUUUAUCAAAAACAUAGCCUUAUGGAAUUUAUAUUAGGUUUUACCUGCCCAGUGAUUUCUUUUUAACGGCCGCAGUACUUUGACUGUGCUAAGGUAGCAUAAUAAAUUGACUUUUAAUUGAAGUCUAGAAUGAAAGGAUAUAUGAAUAUAUUCUGUCUUAAUUGAAAUAUUUUUAAAUUACUUAAAAAGUGAAAAUUCUUUUAUUCUAAUUUAAAAGACGAGAAGACCCUAGGAGUUUAUAUGAUUUUGUUGGGGUAACAUUAUAGUAUAUUUUAAACCUAUAAUAAUAAAUUAUUAUAUAACGAUAAUUAUAAUUUUAAUUUUAACUACCCUAGGGAUAACAGCAUAAUUACUUUGUAGUUUGUGACCUCGAUGUUGGACUAGGGACUUUUAAUAUUAGCUAUAUUAAUCGAUUGUUUUGUUCAAACAAUUUUACCUACGUGAUCUGAGUUCAGA